GACGAACGCUGGCGGCGUGCCUAAUACAUGCAAGUAGAACGCUGAAGGAGGAGCUUGCUUCUCUGGAUGAGUUGCGAACGGGUGAGUAACGCGUAGGUAACCUGCCUGGUAGCGGGGGAUAACUAUUGGAAACGAUAGCUAAUACCGCAUAAUAGUAGAUGUUGCAUGACAUUUGCUUAAAAGGUGCAAUUGCAUCACUACCAGAUGGACCUGCGUUGUAUUAGCUAGUUGGUGAGGUAACGGCUCACCAAGGCGACGAUACAUAGCCGACCUGAGAGGGUGAUCGGCCACACUGGGACUGAGACACGGCCCAGACUCCUACGGGAGGCAGCAGUAGGGAAUCUUCGGCAAUGGACGGAAGUCUGACCGAGCAACGCCGCGUGAGUGAAGAAGGUUUUCGGAUCGUAAAGCUCUGUUGUAAGAGAAGAACGAGUGUGAGAGUGGAAAGUUCACACUGUGGCGGUAUCUUACCAGAAAGGGACGGCUAACUACGUG
rnacentral:rRNA from 1 species